AACGAACGCUGGCGGCAUGCCUAACACAUGCAAGUCGAACGAGACCUUCGGGUCUAGUGGCGCACGGGUGCGUAACGCGUGGGAACCUGCCCUUAGGCUCGGAAUAACUCUCCGUAAGGGGUGCUAAUACCGGAUAAUGUCUUCGGAUAAAAGAUUUAUCGCCCUUGGAUGGGCCCGCGUUGGUUUAACUGGUUGGUAGGGUAAAAGCCUACCAAGGCGACGAUCCAUAGCUGGUCUGAGAGGAUGAUCAGCCACAAUGGAACUGAGACACGGCCCAGACUACGACGAGAGGAAGCAGUGGGGAAUAUUGGACAAUGGGCGCAAGCCUGAUCGAGCCAUACAGCGUGGGUGAAGAAGGCCUUAGGGUUGGAAAGCCCUUUUGUUGGGAAAGAAAAGCAGCAGGUUAAUACCCCGCUGUUCUGACGGUACCAAAAGAAUAAGCACCGGCUAACUUCGUG
rnacentral:rRNA from 1 species